rnacentral:sRNA from 1 species
UGUCAGCAGUGGAAUGAAAUUCCUCCGUGACUUGUUUUAUUCUUUUCCAUUACUUUCACUUUAGCAACAUAUAAGAACAUUAUUUGGCAACAUUGUAUCCUAACUCUAUAAACAUGUUGUUAGACACAUAGAAUGUGUCUGUAUUGAACUUACGUACUAAAUACAAUAAAUACUUAUACUAAAAUACUAAAAGACUAAAAGUACUAAUUCCCUAAUAAUACUAAAUUGCUUUAACAACUUAAAACUGUCAGUGUGGCAACACUGCAUAGGUGGCAACGCUACGCAAUAUACAGUUAGAUUUGACUACAUGUGCUCUGCAUAUACAUUUUUUUUUUUUUCCCGUCGCAACGUGGAAAUCGAAAACUUUUUAACAGAGAUUUAUGUCGAAAUUGCUAUCAGAUUUGAUAAUUGCGCUCAGAGGUCGCGCUUUUCUAUGCGCCAGGCGCCGCCAGCCAUGUACAGGCCGCCACACAGGCGCCGACGCAUUCAUUUGCUGAUGCGCAAUAAGCCUCGCAUGGGCAUUUGACCGCAUCCGACGACGCCUCCGCUGGCUUAUUGGAUUGUGCUGCCGCUUCUUAUGGACACCACUAUGCAGACAGGAGUCGCUGCAUAUAAAAGUGUCGUGCGCAUGGUGUGCAUUUUGGAUUCCAUAUGGGCCACGCUCAGUCGGCCAGUUUGGACUUCUUCGAGGCCGGAGCAUGGCCAUUGACCAUUGCAGCUCCGUCUGCAGGGGCGCCCGCACGAGUUCCGCGUGUGCUGGGAGGCAGGUAUGGCUGCUGUGAAAAACAUCGGAUAUGGCCCAGCCACAGCCAGUGCCUCCUGGCCGA